ACUCAAAUGAAUUGACGGGGGCCCGCACAAGCGGUGGAGUAUGUGGUUUAAUUCGAAGCAACGCGCAGAACCUUACCUGGGCUUGACAUCUGGAGACAAUGGCAGAGAUGUCACUUUCCCUUCGGGGACUCCAAGACAGGUGCUGCAUGGCUGUCGUCAGCUCGUGUCGUAAGAUGUUGGGUUAAGUCCCGCAACGAGCGCAACCCUUGCCUUUAGUUGCCACCAUUAAGUUGAGCACUCUAGAGGGACUGCCGGUGUUAAACCGGAGGAAGGCGGGGAUGACGUCAAGUCCUCAUGGCCCUUACGCCCAGGGCUACACACGUACUACAAUGGCAGAGACAAACCGUUGCGAAGCCGCGAGGUGGAGCCAAUCGGAAAAACACUGUCUCAGUCCGGAUUGAAGUCUGCAACUCGACUUCAUGAAGCUGGAAUCGCUAGUAAUCGCAGAUCAGCACGCUGCGGUGAAUACGUUCCCGGGCCUUGCACACACCGCCCGU
rnacentral:rRNA from 1 species